AGAAAGGGGCCUUCUUUUCCACCUGCCUUGCAGAAGACCCCUGGGAGCCUUGGGCUCAGCGUUUUCCUCGCUAAGUUUUUUGCAGAGCAGUGUCUCCUGCCGUAUGGGUCCAGCCCACUCUUGUGAAGUGGCUCCUUUUGGAAAACAAAGGGAAUUGCAAACUGCUUGUUAAAGCACUAUCCCCCUUCACAGCUGAGGAAGCUGGAGCACUGAGAAGUGAGGUAGCAGCCCAGGGUUUCACAGUCCUGAAGUGGAGUCUAUCUGGCAGCCUGGCUCCAGGGUUGGUGCCCCUUCUGCGCUACCCCUCUCAGCCUGGUGUGGAAGGACAGUGCUUGGCACAGAAGAUGCAAACAGUGAAUGUUCACUGAAGCAUGAAGACCUUUCAAAAUCCAGCCAAAAUUGCUCUUGGACCCCCAUGAAGUUGGGAAGGCCAACAGAAACCUUGAACUGCUUCAUGUUCAGCAUUACGUUAACCAGGGAGAAUGGAAAUCCUACUCCCCAAGAGAGAAAGACAUUGGAGGGGCCCUUUUGGCAUCUUUCUUCCCACCUCCAACCCCCUUCCCAGGGAAGGAGAAGUGAUUCAG